rnacentral:lncRNA from 1 species
CGCCUGUCCUUCUUGAUCUUGGUGGAUGAGAUCUUCCGCAAUAAAUUUCCUUUCCCUCGCUACAGCACCGGUAAACCUUGAAAGAAAGAAAGAAUCACGCAGUAUCUUGUGUCCAACGCGCCUAGCAUAAACAACGCGUCCACAUUCCUCCUCCCAGACCCUACAAAUCUCUGCAGAAACAACGGGAAAAACAGAGUUAGCCGAGAUUUUUUUUAAAGGCGUCGGAGCAGGGGUCGAUCGACACCGCGCAUCUUUUUCUAACGCAAGUGGGGAGGCAACGGAGAGGCCGGACCGGCGACCACUUGCUCGCUCCGGUCUGCGCUCGUGCUUGCGCUUGCGGGGAGGAAUCUUGUAACAAGAUCUCGCAGCCUUGUGCCGGGACGAAGAGAGAUACUCCUGCUAAUUAUAUAUACUACGGAGUACGCAACAAGAGGGAGGGGGAUAACGGAAUUUGGUUGAUUAAAAACCCAUUGAGCCCACAGGAUUUGCAGCCGCAAUGUGACGGCCACGAGGGAGCAUGUGGAGGGAGGGAGGCGUCGAGAUUUAUAGCGAGCCACGGGGAUGGCAACAAAACAAAACAGGGGUAGUACCCAACCCAACAAAGAGCGCAAGAACAAACGGAAAGCGGGCAGAUUAGGGCCAGCCAUGACCGGAGAAAGAGGAACAGUGCGACGGGCGGAGGCAGACCCACCUCCCCCGAGAAAAAGACGGGCUACGCCCCCACCCCAGCAGCGGACGGAGCCAGCCCCAAGAACUGCUCACCGCCAACAACAAGUGCUCUGCCCUGCUCUGGGAGAGGAGUGCAGCCAAGAUGCGGCCACGCGACGCAAGUGCGCGCGCGCAUAUGCCCUGUCUCCCUGUCGACCCGGCUGGGAGGAGUGUCUCCCUCCGAUGCCCGCGUGCGUGCUUGUGUUGGGAGCGGGAGAAAGGCGUGGCGAUUAACCUCGGGCGAGAGGGUGGUGACCUUGCUAGCUAGCUUGCUUGCAGGUGUCCUCCUCCCUCCAAUGGCCGCCGUGAACUGCACUGCACCCACACCCCGAGGAGCGAGCGAGGACGACGCGGCCCGGCGUGCCUCCUCAAGUACCCACAGCAGAGAGACAGCACUACCACCACCCCUCUCUCUUUUCUUUCGCAAUGC